rnacentral:rRNA from 1 species
UAGAGUUUGAUCCUGGCUCAGGAUGAACGCUAGCGACAGGCUUAACACAUGCAAGUCGAGGGGCAGCGGGGAGGUAGCAAUACUUCCGCCGGCGACCGGCGCACGGGUGAGUAACACGUAUGGAACCUGCCCGUAGCAGGGGGAUAAACGGAAGAAAUUCCGUCUAAUACCGCGUAAUAACUCCGAGAGGCAUCUCAUGGAGUUUAAAGGGUAACACCGGCUACGGAUGGCCAUGCGGCGCAUUAGCUAGUUGGCGGGGUAACGGCCCACCAAGGCGACGAUGCGUAGGGGUUCUGAGAGGAAGGUCCCCCACACUGGUACUGAGACACGGACCAGACUCCUACGGGAGGCAGCAGUGAGGAAUAUUGGUCAAUGGGCGCGAGCCUGAACCAGCCAAGUCGCGUGAGGGAAGACGGUCCUAUGGAUUGUAAACCUCUUUUGUCGGGGAGCAAAAGACGCCACGUGUGGCGUUCCGAGAGUACCCGAAGAAAAAGCAUCGGCUAACUCCGUGCCAGCAGCCGCGGUAAUACGGAGGAUGCGAGCGUUAUCCGGAUUUAUUGGGUUUAAAGGGUGCGCAGGCGGAAGAUCAAGUCAGCGGUAAAAUUGAGAGGCUCAACCUCUUCGAGCCGUUGAAACUGGUUUUCUUGAGUGAGCGAGAAGUAUGCGGAAUGCGUGGUGUAGCGGUGAAAUGCAUAGAUAUCACGCAGAACUCCGAUUGCGAAGGCAGCAUACCGGCGCUCAACUGACGCUCAUGCACGAAAGUGUGGGUAUCGAACAGGAUUAGAUACCCUGGUAGUCCACACAGUAAACGAUGAAUACUAAUUGUUCGGGGAGAAUGAUCCCUGAGUGAUACAGCGAAAGCGUUAAGUAUUCCACCUGGGGAGUACGCCGGCAACGGUGAAACUCAAAGGAAUUGACGGGGGCCCGCACAAGCGGAGGAACAUGUGGUUUAAUUCGAUGAUACGCGAGGAACCUUACCCGGGCUCAAACGACACAGGAAUACUUUUGAAAGGAGGUAGCUCUACGGAGUCUGUGUCGAGGUGCUGCAUGGUUGUCGUCAGCUCGUGCCGUGAGGUGUCGGCUUAAGUGCCAUAACGAGCGCAACCCCCAUCGCCAGUUACCAGCAAGUCAAGUUGGGGACUCUGGCGAGACUGCCGGCGCAAGCUGUGAGGAAGGCGGGGAUGACGUCAAAUCAGCACGGCCCUUACGUCCGGGGCGACACACGUGUUACAAUGGCAGGUACAGAGAGAAGCAAUGCGGCGACGCAAAGCGGAACUUGAAAGCCUGUCUCAGUUCGGAUUGGAGUCUGCAACUCGACUCCAUGAAGCUGGAUUCGCUAGUAAUCGCGCAUCAGCCAUGGCGCGGUGAAUACGUUCCCGGGCCUUGUACACACCGCCCGUCAAGCCAUGGAAGCCGGGGGUGCCUGAAGUGCGUGACCGCAAGGAGCGCCCUAGGGUAAAACCGGUGACUGGGGCUAAGUCGUAAUCAAGGUAACCGUAA